GUGGGACAACGCCGUCAUGUCUCAGCAAAAAAGAUACGUGCAAACAUGAAAAACGCCCUCUCACGUUUUUACUCCAGUUGAAACGUGUUAUGUGAUUAUAAAGGGGAAUUUCUUUCAGGGAUGAAAUUCUCUCUUCGUAAACCAAAAAUUUACUCGCCCAUCAUUGAAUAGAUUAGUCAGUCUUUAGUACAAGGUUAUAGCCUUGGAUUGCUUUAUCUUGAAUGAAGAAGGCUACAACCCUGGAUUGCUUUAUCUGGAAAGAGUUGUGUGCAGACGCACCUGUCUUUUCAAGUGCUUUGUUUUGAACAUUAAGGCAAAAAUACUAAAGAACCAAGAUGGCAGAUAUUGGAAAAGCAAUUGUGGCAACAAAAAUCUUGUGCCUUAAGCUGAAUUCUCAGAUCCACCAACAGGAUACAAGAUUUGAAGAUUGAGGAUGAUACUGUUUUCAAGCAAACUUUGUGAUGGACAUAGAAUUAGGGUUUAAAUUUUAGCAAGUUUUGAUCCAUUUUGAGCUAAUUUAGUUCGAUUUACAAGAUUUUUUGUACAUAACAAAUAUACGAUCAUCAAAGUAAAAUGAGUUUUAUA